AACAUAUAUGGGGCUGGAGUCAAGGAGAUAGGGGAGAUCAAUUAAGCAAAUGUACAGGGGGAGAGGGUAAAAGGGCCAUGGGAUAAAAGCCUUACAGAGUAGGUACUGGGAGAGGGCCUGGGAGCCAUACUGAGAGAAAAAUCGAGAGAGCACAGUGAAAGAAGACAAGGGAAGAAAGAGUUCUUUGCUCCUUUUAUACUGGGUUCUAAAUUCCUUAAUCUUGUGUUCACUUUUGUCAAAAUUGUCUUUAGUGCUUAAACACUCUCUCCUUUCCUUGUCCCCAUGCACCAAAUUAAGAAGGUGUGGGUUUUAAAUCUGAAAAUUGGUCAUCACAGGGUUCAAAGGUUCAAGUAUGUGGAGGAGACCAAACUGAAAAGAAAGCAUCAUAGGUUUUAGACUGAAACAAAUCAGGGCUAACCAGAAAAAACCUUUGAGGCCAAAGACCACUUGAGGUGGCCCUGGUUCCUCCAUGUUUCACUCACUGGCUCCUUAUAUCUGCUGGACCUGCAUUUCCAUUCACCAUGUCUCAGGAGGAAAAUGAUUCUAGUGACCUCGCUGUAGGGAGACGGGAGCCUCAGGCAUCUUAUCAAACUUCCAGGCUGUUCUACAUAAGCAGGGUUCUUGGCUCUGGCCUAGGAAAGCAAUGCCAUUGUCGGCUGACACUCAAGCAUCCUGGCAAGCUUGCUAAGUGUGUGGGGAGCCCUAACCGCUGUUGUUGGCGGGAAGACCAAGCUGUCACUUGCACCUCACCUUCAGAAUUCGGCCCUGUUUAAGUUAAGCUCUGCAGGUGGAGCCCUGGAUUGUGAGAAGGAUACAAAGCCUGCGGACAUGUUGGCGUUUAUUCCUCGUGCUGCUUCUGAGGACACACAAGAGGGUGUUCUGGCCAAAUUAGCCAGUUAUUGGUUCCUCGAGUAACUUUGGUUUUGGACCCCUGACCUGACUCUGUGAGUGAGCAGGAGGUUGUUUUCCCUGAGUGAGUUUGCCUCUUGGCUUUCCUGUCACUACAUGAACAUUCAGCCCACAGAUUUCUGUUAUCUAAUCAGGUGCAUCGGUCCGCGGUGGAGAUGAGAGUGGAGGAACACCCCUCUGACUCAGAUUUUGCACAAACAAAACUCAGCCUUGUUAACAAAGGCAGGGAGGAGCGCCCACGGCCGCUCAGAUCAGAUCUUCCCCGACAAUCUUCGGGGCAGUGCAGAUGGGUGGGUUUUUAUGGCAAGAUAAGCAACUGGAGGGCUCCACUUUGGUAUGCUAAAUAAAAUUAAAAUGUCAAUAUUUACACAUGACCUUCAAGGCUCUUACACUCUUGCUUUCUUAGGAUUCAGUACAGACUGCGUUUUCUUUAGCCCGUUACCAACAGCUUGGAAAUUCAGUUAGAGGACAUAACCCAAAUGUUCUCCAAAUGUUCCUUCCAAAUGGUCAUCUCGAAAAGUGCUGUUUUAAGGCGUGCAACCUUUCUACACCAAGAGAGGGCUGUCGCGCUGCCUACCCAACUGCAGGGGAAUUAUCCGGAGAUGAAAACCACUGAUGAUAAAGAUAGUGCCGCCAAGCUGCUUUAAUUUGUUGAUAACUAAAGCACAAGAGGCCUCUUACAGGCUUCUUGAAGCCUCACUAUUGUGUAUUGCACAUUCAACCCCUGCUUGUGUGCUGACACAAACAAAUAAACGCGAUCAUAAUGGUUGAAAUGUAGUUAGAAACACAAUUGAGAACAUCUGUAUUGUAAGCAGAAAUAAAUUAGAAAUACUGAAGUGUUUUGUAGCUGUGAAAACGAAGGAAUA